rnacentral:rRNA from 1 species
GGGUGUUGGAAAGAUUUAUCGGUUUUGGAUGGACUCGACGGCCUAUCAGCUUGUUGGUGAGGUAAUGGCUCAGCAACGGGACGACGGGUAGCCGGCCUGAGAGGAUGACCGGCCACACUGGGACUGACACACGGCUCCAGACUCCUACGGGAGGCAUACAGUGAGGAAUAUUGCACAAUGCGUGAAAGCCUGAUGCAACGACGCCGCAUGAGGGAUGACUGCCUUCUGGUUGUCAACCUCUUUCAGUACGGAAGUAUCGAAGGUGACCGUACCUGCAGAAGAAUCUCCGGCUAACUACGUGCCAUCAUCCGCGGUAAUACGUAAGGUGCGAGCGUUAUCCCGAAUUAUUGCGCGUAAAGAGCUCGUAAGCCGUNUGUCUCGUCUGUCGAGAAAGUNNAGGGCUUAUCCCCGGAUCUACGGUGGGUACCGCGCAGACUACAGUGCAGGAGGGUUAGACUGCGAAUUCCAUGGUGUAUGCGGAGAAUGCACAGAUAUCACCGAGGAAGCACCGAUGGAGAAGAGCAGAGUCUCUGGGCUGCAACUGACGCUGAGGAUGCGAAAGCAUGGCUGAGCGAUCACAGGAUUAGAUACCCUGGUAGUCCAUGCCGUAAACGUAGGGCACUAGGUGUGCCGACCAUUCUCACGAUUACCGCGCCGCAGCUAACGCAUUAAGUGCACUCGCCUGGGGCAGUACAGCCGCAAGGCUAAAACUCAAAGGAAUUGACGGGCGCCCGCACAAGCGCACAGAACAUGACGUGAUUAAUUCCAUGCAACGCGAAGAACCUUACCUAAGGCUUGACAUGCUCUCAGAUCGCCUGUACCAGAUACGGUUUUCCCCUUUGGGGCGCGAUUCNAAGAGGUGGUGCACGGUUGUCGGCAGNCUCGUGUCCGGGAGAUGCUUGGGUUAAGUCCCGCAACGAGCGCAACCCUCCUUCCAUGUUGCCAGCACGUCGUGGUGGGGACUCAUGGGAGACUGCCGGGGUCACAUCCGAGGAAGGGGAGGGGGAGGUCAAAUCUUCACACCCCCUAUGUGAUGGGGUUCACGCACGUUACACAAUCCGCUACACAAGGUGGAGAUAAUGUGAGGUGGAGCUAAUCCCAAAAAGCCGGUUUCAGUUCGGAUUGGGGUCUGCAACUCGACCCCAUGAAGUCGGAGUCGCUAGUAAAAGCAGAUCUGCAACGGUGCGGUGAAUAAGUUUCCGGGCUUUGUACCCCCCCCCCGG